UUUCCAGAAAUAAGUACAUGAUGCAGAAAUCUAUUUCUGGGGCCCACUUGGUGUGUGCUUGGGCUGAACAUUGAAGUUUUUUCAUGCAUAGGCUAUUCUUUGAGUUAAACGCUAGCUUGGGUGCUAGUUUGGGCGUUUAACUC